AGACCGAUAAGAACGAUUAAUCGCGAUUAAUCAGACGAUCAGAAAACACUAGUUAGUAGUAAGUACUAGUAGUAUAUAAUUGGCAAUGAUCAACACCGCGUGGACUAGUGUCGAUCAGUAGUAGUGGUAACGUAGCCAGCAGCAUCCGUGAAUCCAUGCGUGACGCCGAUUACAGCCAAAAAAAACAUGUACGUAUUAAUAUACUCCUAUGAGCCGUUGAGCACUUGCCAACAAUACCUGGUAAUCAAGCUCUUUGAAGCAUUGAGAGCGCAAGCACGAGACAGGCUGGGUGUGUAACGGAAAGGGCCUCAUCAUCCCCUCCAUCCCGUGUUUCAAGGCGGAACAGGCUGAGAAUUAAUGCGCGAAACGGAUUAACGCGUCAGAUUGGGUGGACUACCCUAUGACAAAUCAAAUACUGCUCCUACUAUGUCGACGUACGACAACAAACAAAAAUGGAAGGAAAGUAAACCUGCAGUGUUCAACCCAAGCAGCAUUCCACAGCUAAUGAUCGUGUUGAGCUGGCCGGUCGGCGGAACUGAACCUGAUCGAGUAUUGGUAGCCUGAUUGAUUUUGGGAAAUUAUUAAUUGUAUCUCAAAUUUGGAGAGAGAAACUAGUUGAUUGAUUGAGGAAACUAAAGCAUAGAAGAGGGGUGGAUUCCCACUAAACGCGUGAGCAAGAGACUGGAUCGAUAUGGGUUGCCUGCACGUCGUCGCGUCGAUGCGCGCUCGCACUCCAGCUUUGUUUGUUUUCGCGGUGUACCACCGGUCCAGCAAAACCGUGCACAACGCAAGUAUCCAAUCGAUCCAGCGAGAAACCAGCUGAUGUGCACCCCAGACUAGUGCAGGAUAGACAUGCACCCCGAACAGUUGCAGCCUCUCCUUGUAAACCCA
rnacentral:lncRNA from 1 species